rnacentral:rRNA from 1 species
GAUGAACGCUGGCGGCGUGCUUAACACAUGCAAGUCGAACGGACUUAUGAUGAAGCCUAGCGAUUCAUAAGUUAGUGGCGGACGGGUGAGUAACGCGUGGGUAACCUGCCUUAUACAGGGGGAUAACACUUAGAAAUAGGUGCUAAUACCGCAUAAGCGCACAGUUUCGCAUGAAACAGUGUGAAAAACUCCGGUGGUAUAAGAUGGACCCGCGUCUGAUUAGCUAGUUGGUGAGGUAACGGCCCACCAAGGCGACGAUCAGUAGCCGGCCUGAGAGGGUGAACGGCCACAUUGGGACUGAGACACGGCCCAAACUCCUACGGGAGGCAGCAGUGGGGAAUAUUGCACAAUGGGGGAAACCCUGAUGCAGCGACGCCGCGUGAGUGAAGAAGUAUUUCGGUAUGUAAAGCUCUAUCAGCAAGG